rnacentral:rRNA from 1 species
UAGGGAAUCUUCCGCAAUGGACGCAAGUCUGACGGAGCAACGCCGCGUGAGUGAAGAAGGAUUUCGGUUCGUAAAACUCUGUUGUUAGAGAAGAACAGCGCAUAGAGUAACUGUUAUGCGUGUGACGGUAUCUAACCAGAAAGCCACGGCUAACUACGUGCCAGCAGCCGCGGUAAUACGUAGGUGGCAAGCGUUGUCCGGAUUUAUUGGGCGUAAAGCGAGCGCAGGUGGUCAAUUAAGUCUGAUGUGAAAGCCCCCGGCUCAACCGGGGAGGCUCAUUGGAAACUGGUUUACUUGAGUGCAGACUAGGAGAGUGUCAUUCCAUGUGUAGCGGUGAUAUGCGUAGAUAUCUGGAGGAACACCAGUGGCGAAGGCGACUCUCUGGUCUGUAACUGACGCUGAGGCUCGAAAGCGUGGGUAGCAAACAGG